rnacentral:ncRNA from 2 species
ACCAAAUGUAGAUGUCACGGUCCGCCAUGUCGCAAGAUUUGGUGGCUAAGAGGGAAGUCGGUGAAGACGCUGUUUUGCGUCAUAUUCCGGCGCUGCCCCCGCAACUGUAAGCGGUGAGUCUGUUUCAAUUGAAGUCACUGAUGCCGCAAGCGUCGGGAAGGCUGAAACAGACGACGACCUGCGAGCCAGGAGACCUGCCGCGACACCAGAACGUCC